CCUUCGGUAGCUCAGUCGGAAGAGCGUCAGACUGUAAUUGGAUAAAGCAUUACGUGAUGCUUACGUAAUCACAUCUGAAUGUCGCUGGUUCGAUCCCGGCCCGAAGGA